rnacentral:pre_miRNA from 1 species
UGCAAUACAUUACUGAGGAGGUGUAACAGUUAUAUUGUACUAUGAGUAACUGAAAUAUCUCUCAGUAUUAUAAGGUUC